rnacentral:rRNA from 1 species
AUGGUAGGAUAGAGGCCUACCAUGGUGGUAACGGGUAACGGGGUGUUAGGGCACGACACCGGAGAGGGAGCCUGAGAAACGGCUACCACAUCCNAGGAUGGCAGCAGGCGCGCAAAUUACCCAAUCCCGACACGGGGAGGUAGUGACAAUAAAUAACAAUACGGGGUUCUUUAGGAUCUCGUAAUUGGAAUGAGUACAAUUUAAAUCUCUUAACGAGGAACAAUUGGAGGGCAAGUCUGGUGCCAGCAGCCGCGGUAAUUCCAGCUCCAAUAGCGUAUAUNAAAGUUGUUGCAGUUAAAAAGCUCGUAGUUGAAUUUCGGGGUCAGUAGGUCGGUCGUGCCACUGGUAUGAACUGGUUUCACUGAUUCCUCCCUCUUGAAGAACUGUAAUGCCAUUAAUUUGGUGUUGCAGGGAAUCAGGACUGUUACUUUGAAAAAAUUAGAGUGUUUAAAGCAGGCUUUAGCUUGAAUACAUUAGCAUGGAAUAAUGAAAUAGGACGUUUGAUCCUAUUUUGUUGGUUUCUAGGAUUGACGUAAUGAUUAAUAGGGAUAGUUGGGGGCAUUAGUAUUCAAUUGUCAGAGGUGAAAUUCUUGGAUUUAUUGAAGACUAACUACUGCGAAAGCAUUUGCCAAGGAUGUUUUCAUUAAUCAAGAACGAAAGUUAGGGGAUCGAAGAUGAUCAGAUACCGUUGUAGUCUUAACCAUAAACUAUGCCGACUAGGGAUCGGAUGAUGUUAAUUUUUUAAUGACUCAUUCGGCGCCUUACGGGAAACCAAAGUGUUUGGG